rnacentral:rRNA from 1 species
GAUUAAGUUAAUAAGGGCGCACGGUGGAUGCCUUGGCACUAGAAGCCGAAGAAGGACGUGACAAACGACGAAAUGCUUUGGGGAGCUGUAAGUAAGCGCUGAUCCAGAGAUGUCCGAAUGGGGGAACCCACUAACUAAUGGUUAGUAUCCAUAACUGUUAAGGUUAUGAGAAGGAAGACGCAGUGAACUGAAACAUCUAAGUAGCUGCAGGAAGAGAAAGCAAACGCGAUUGCCUUAGUAGCGGCGAGCGAAACGGCAGGAGGGCAAACCGAAGUGUUUACACUUCGGGGUUGUAGGACUGCGACGUGGGACUUUAAAAGGAUAGAAGAAUUACCUGGGAAGGUAAGCCAAAGAGAGUAAAAGCCUCGUAUUUAAAAUUCUUUUGAGCCCUAGCAGUAUCCUGAGUACGGCGAGACACGUGAAAUCUCGUUGGAAUCUGGGAGGACCAUCUCCCAACCCUAAAUACUCUCUAGUGACCGAUAGUGAACCAGUACCGUGAGGGAAAGGUGAAAAGCACCCCGGGAGGGGAGUGAAAUAGAACCUGAAACCGUGUGCCUACAACAAGUUCGAGCCCGUUAAUGGGUGAGAGCGUGCCUUUUGUAGAAUGAACCGGCGAGUUACGAUAUGAUGCGAGGUUAAGUUGAAGAGACGGAGCCGUAGGGAAACCGAGUCUUAAUAGGGCGAUUUAGUAUCAUGUUGUAGACCCGAAACCAUGUGACCUACCCAUGAGCAGGUUGAAGGUGAGGUAAAACUCACUGGAGGACCGAACCAGGGCACGUUGAAAAGUGCUUGGAUGACUUGUGGGUAGCGGAGAAAUUCCAAACGAACUUGGAGAUAGCUGGUUCUCUCCGAAAUAGCUUUAGGGCUAGCGUCGAUGUUAAGUCUCUUGGAGGUAGAGCACUGUUUGGGUGAGGGGUCCAUCUCGGAUUACCAAUCUCAGAUAAACUCCGAAUGCCAACGAGAUAUCAUCGGCAGUCAGACUGCGAGUGCUAAGAUCCGUAGUCGAAAGGGAAACAGCCCAGACCACCAGCUAAGGUCCCAAAAUAACUGUUAAGUGGAAAAGGAUGUGGGGUUGCACAGACAACUAGGAUGUUAGCUUAGAAGCAGCUAUUCAUUCAAAGAGUGCGUAAUAGCUCACUAGUCGAGUGACCCUGCGCCGAAAAUGUACCGGGGCUAAAACAGUUUACCGAAGCUGUGGAUGACACAAAAGUGUCAUGGUAGGAGAGCGUUCUAUGUGUGAAGAAGGUGUACCGUGAGGAGCGCUGGAACGCAUAGAAGUGAGAAUGCCGGUAUGAGUAGCGAAAGACAGGUGAGAAUCCUGUCCACCGUAAGACUAAGGUUUCCAGGGGAAGGCUCGUCCGCCCUGGGUUAGUCGGGACCUAAGGAGAGACCGAAAGGUGUAUCCGAUGGCCAACAGGUUGAUAUUCCUGUACUAGAGUAUAUAGUGAUGGAGGGACGCAGUAGGCUAACUAAACCGGACGAUUGGAAGAGUCCGGCUAAGCAGUGAGGUGUAAGAUGAGUCAAAUGCUUAUCUUUAUAACAUUGAGCUGUGAUGGGGAGCGAAUUUUAGUAGCGAAGUUAGUGAUGUCACACUGCCAAGAAAAGCUUCUAGCGUUUAAUGAUACUCUACCCGUACCGCAAACCGACACAGGUAGUCGAGGCGAGUAGCCUCAGGUGAUCGAGAGAACUCUCGUUAAGGAACUCGGCAAAAUGACCCCGUAACUUCGGGAGAAGGGGUGCUGACUUAGGUCAGCCGCAGUGAAUAGGCCCAAGCAACUGUUUAUCAAAAACACAGCUCUCUGCUAAAUCGUAAGAUGAUGUAUAGGGGGUGACGCCUGCCCGGUGCUGGAAGGUUAAGAGGAGGGUUUAGCGCAAGCGAAGAUCUGAAUUGAAGCCCCAGUAAACGGCGGCCGUAACUAUAACGGUCCUAAGGUAGCGAAAUUCCUUGUCGGGUAAGUUCCGACCCGCACGAAAGGCGUAAUGAUUUGGGCACUGUCUCAACGAGAGACUCG